ACAUACAACCAGAGAUGUUACUAUUUAGUAGAGGUGGGUCGAAAAGUAACAACCUAAUACUUUGUCACUGAUACGCGCCUGUAUCAGGAACGGCAAACGAGUACACUUGAAAAGUAUCAGAGACUUUAGUAUCAGUUCAGAAUUCACCUGGAACACCACGGCCAAUGAGCCAUGGUGGUAAGAAGUUAGGGAGUGGUUGUUUGGCGUGGAUGCUGAAGUCAUUUUGCUUUUUGGGACACGCCCACUAAUGCGACCAAAACAAACGGCGAAUACAAGUUUGAAAUGGUGUUUUUAAUGAAAUAAAACAAUGUCGUGUUGUGCUUAUGGUUGUACGAAUAGGCUAGCGAAAAAGUAGACGGGAAUUACAUUUCACAAGUAAGUUUAUAUCAAACCAGGAGCUUCUAUUAUUGAAGUGGUGAGAUGAAUAAGAGAAGACAAGACAUGUCUCAAGAAAGAUGAAAUAGUUAUAGUAGCAGGUGGAAAUUACGUGUUAAAGAAACAAUCAAAAACUGUGUAUCUCAGUUUGAAAUAUGUAUUACCUUCAUUAUGUAACACAAAAGUGGCGGUAUGUACAAUCCCACACAGAUUUGACUUUAUGGAUAACUCAUGUGUAAAUAUAGGGAUAAGGAAAACUAAUGAAAAAAUUCUGACUCUGUAGUAAGUACAAUUUUGUACGAGUAGGUAUCUUUUGCUGAUGACACAAAUCUUCUUAUAACUCCAGAAAAAUAUUGGAAUUAAAAAAUAAAACUGAAUUUGAAAUAAUUAACUUGAAUAAGUGGUUUGAUGCAAAUAAUUUAAAACUUAAUAUAAAUAAAACAAAAUUUAUUAAAUUUGGUAAUAAAAGACUGCUCGAUCAAGUAUUAUCUGAAUUUCAGAAUCAAGCGAUAAGUCAAACUGAAUCAACUAAAUUCUUGGGCUUACAUAUUGAUGAUAAACUAAAAUGGAAUGAACAUAUCAAUCAAACUAUUCUUAAAUUAAGUAAAGCUUGCUACGCCCUCAGAAUUCUUAGCCAAAUUAUAGACAGAAAUUAUCUACGAACUGUAUACAUUGCACUUUUUCACACACACAUGGUAUAUGUAAUUGAAAUAUGGGGUAAGUGUAGUAAUAGUAUUAAAAUUUUUAGAUAGCAAAAAAAAGCCAUAUGUAUUAUAUGUUUAGCUGAUACAAGAGCCUCAUGUAAACCUUUAUUUACUGAGUUGAAUAUAUUCCCUUUUUUUUCGUAAUAUAUUUAUAGGUUGCUCUUAUUUGUAAAAUUGUAAAUAAUUUUGUAGAAUCUGAACAUACUGGACCAUAUAUCACAAGAUAUAACUAUAAACUGAAACCAAAAUUCCACACUUAAGAGGUAUAACACUAUUUAAUAAACUACCUAAAGAAAUUAUAUUACUACAAAAUUUUAAUGAAUUCAAAAAAGUUGUUAGAGAAUACAUCAAAGGAAAAAAAUAUUUAUUUAGCUGGUGAAAUAACACCUUGUAAUGACAAUAUAAAUAAUAUGUAAUUUGCUGUAUAAUUAAUAGGACACCCUACAAAUGAUUCAGAGUAUAUUAAAUGAAAAAUAUGUACUGUUUGUUGUGUUGUGUAAAUUGUGAAAAUUAUAAAAUUUGUGAUUAUUUGUUGAAAGUGUAGAUUAGCAAAAUUCAUUAUAAUUGUAAACUUGAUUAUUUUAUUGCAAUUUUAACUAUGUUUAAUUUUUGUUUAUAAUGUGACAAGGUCUAUAUCCCUUGAGCUGUUGGCUCAUGUAGGGAUCUGCAGGUGGAUUGAAAAAAAUAAAAAAAAUGAAAUAAAAUAGAUUGUGUUAUCUGCAUGAAACCAUAAUAUAUUUUCCAUUGAUUUUUGUUGUCCAAAUUAUAUACAUUUAUGUAAUGUCUUGUUAUUUGUUAAUAAAUUAUGGUUUUUACUUCAGUA